rnacentral:rRNA from 1 species
CCUACGGGAGGCAGCAGUGGGGAAUAUUGGACAAUGGGCGAAAGCCUGAUCCAGCAAUGCCGCGUGAGUGAUGAAGGCCUUAGGGUUGUAAAGCUCUUUUACCAGGGAUGAUAAUGACAGUACCUGGAGAAUAAGCUCCGGCUAACUCCGUGCCAGCAGCCGCGGUAAUACGGAGGGAGCUAGCGUUGUUCGGAAUUACUGGGCGUAAAGCGUACGUAGGCGGUUAUUCAAGUCAGAGGUGAAAGCCUGGAGCUCAACUCCAGAACUGCCUUUGAAACUAGAUAGCUAGAAUCUUGGAGAGGUGAGUGGAAUUCCGAGUGUAGAGGUGAAAUUCGUAGAUAUUCGGAAGAACACCAGUGGCGAAGGCGACUCACUGGACAAGUAUUGACGCUGAGGUACGAAAGCGUGGGGAGCAAACAGGAUUAGAUACCCUGGUAGUCCACGCCGUAAACGAUGAUAACUAGCUGUUCGGGCUCUACGAGCUUGAGUGGCGCNGCUACGACAUUAAGUUAUCCGUCCGUCGGGUAGGUACGGUCGCGAGAAUUAAACUAACGAAACGGAAGUUAGUACGGCGUGAGACGUGCCGACGGACGACGACGAGGGAGGUUAGG